rnacentral:lncRNA from 7 species
AGGACAAUUUCUCUUCUCUUACUGUGGCCCAAGCAAGCCGAAGGGUUGGACGCCUAUGCCCUAAUGAGAAUGAAUGAAGAACCCUCGUCGACUCCAUCUAGUGGUGGUGACAGGGAAUUGAACAGAUGGAUCCCGUAGACAUCUGUAUGCAGAAUUUGAGGGAAUUCAUUCAUUUAAGCGGCAGAAGAGCUUUGGCCCUCAGUAAGACAACAGGUUACACGUCAGAGAAGUUGUUACAACAUGACCCCGACGCAGCGCUGUCUCUCCCAAGGAUGGCACAUUUAGCCUGGGGUGAACGAGGACUAAAUCUGCCCUGCUUUCAGAUGUGCAGUUCUCAACAUGCUGCCGUGGACGUGCUCAGCAUGCUAAUGCCGUGGCAGCUGUACACUUGUGAACAGCUACCAAAUGGGCUGAGCUAGAAAAGGUGUGGAGAGAUGGAUGGCCGAGGUUAUCAGCACUUCAGUUAUUUCUGCAUUAAUUCAGUGCUUCUGAGACAGAAUGAAAAUGAGACCACCAAACAAGACGUGAUAACAAGACGUCAUGAAUAGCAGGGAGAGGUUGACUGAAAGUAAUUGAUUGUUCACUCUGUCUUCUGGUAAGAAAAUGAGUGUUGGUUUAAAUGAGCAGGUAACUGGCUUAAAGCAAACUGAUGGAGACGCUUCAUACCACAUGUGGUUAAAGCUGGGAAACAUUUCACUGCAGAACAUGCUCAGUGGUACAAAUGUACACGAUGUUACAAACUGUCUGAACAAAUUCACAGUGGAAAACGCAUCACAGGCUAUUAAAUUCAGGGGCUAUCUUUGGCUUAAACAAAUAAUGAUGCCAAGAUUUCUGGCAGCUACAAAACAGUUCUACACAUUUUCCUUGUGCUUUUAUUCUUCCCUAAACGUUUGGUGUUUGCUACUGUUGAAGACUGAUUUGGUACUAUAUGGGUCAUCUGACUUGAUAAAAAUUCUGCUUGUUUUCUUGGGAGAUUUGAAUCAAAUUUUACAGGAAUUGAAGGACCAAAAGAGCCUUACAAGAAAUGAAUUUCACAAAUCACAGCAGAAGCACUUGCCCUGCAGGAAUUAUAGAGCGAAGAAAAAGCAAGAAGAAGGAAACAAACAAUAAUAAUUAAAAAAAAAAAAUAGGGGAAUGGAAAAAAAUGUCAUGUUUGAUAGGAGGUGGAUGGUAGGGCCAUCUUCAAGGGUAAAAAACUUCUUUCCAGUAGUCAGUGUGGUAGGAAGCCCCACAUUUUCCUUCAGCCUUUCUUCAGCUUUGCAAGUCUGAUGCAUUGCCUUUUUGCAUGGCCACAGAGACCUGUAAUUGCAGCACCUGCAGAUCUCCUGAUGGUGGCGUUACUUUCACCCAGAACUACGCAGCUCUAAACCGGGAUUGGAAGAGGGGGACAGCAGAAGUGGGGCCAUGCUUGUAGUCUCUGUGACACUGCGAAAUGGAGACCACAGCUAUAUCUGCAGCAAUCCCUGUCAGGUAGCACUGUCCUGUUGCAGCAUCACUGAUGGAGGAUGUUUUCUUUCCUUAAGGCAACCAACACAGUAUGCACUCCAAUUUUUGGCUCAGGGAAUCAUAUUGAUACAAAUUGCAUGUUUUCCAGGAAAAAAAAAAAAAUUUUAAUAUUGGAAAGUGAGGUUUUGCAGGAAGAACUUAUAUCUGAGUGUGGAGAAGUAUAAGGGUGUGCCAAAAUAGCAGUGCAUUUGGGGCUGGAGCUGCAAGUUGCAGGAGGGCCAGGGUGGGCUCUUCAGCUCCAGCAGGGGUAGCUGGAGGCCAGAGUCAGCCUUGCUAUGUCCAGGCUGUCCUGGCUCACCUGCAGAUAGCCAAACACCCAGCAAACACCUGGGGAUUGACAUAGCCCAUGCAAUGCUCCGGAGGGCUCUGCCAUCCUGCUGCACAAUUGGGAAUAGCUGCAAAAAACACAGAGUGCCCCGGCCAGCACACAACAUGACUGCACCCUAGACCAUGGCUGGGGGGCUCUGUGAAGUUCCAUCCUUGCUGCUUCUGCGGGAGCUAUGGAUGCAGGGCCCCUGCUCAGGUAAAGGGCAGGAGUCACCCAGACUUCCUUUGCAGAUUGCCAGAGCAGUUUGAUCCAACACAUGCACCACGCUAAUAAAAUGUGGGGGUGCUCAUAUCCAUGCGCAUAGGAAUUCUGUGAAUUAUAAUUAACUUUUAUUUAAUUAAUUAUAUAUAAAUUAAUUAUUUCGCUUACUUCUGAUAAUCUAAAAAAAAUAGUAUUUAAAUAUAUAUAUAUUUUUAUUUUAAUAAAGAAGAAAUCUGAGCAGU